rnacentral:pre_miRNA from 1 species
AAACAGCCACCCUAUGUUUUGAUUCUUUAGCAGUUUUGGACCCCCAAGGUAAAAAAAAAAAAAAAAAUAUGACACGUGGCACCUCACUUAGGGUGCCACGUCAGCGUUGACCGAGUCAACAAUGGACUGGAGGUCCAAAACUGUCAAAGAAUAAAAACAUAGGGGGUUGUUU